AAAGGUCAACGUGGAAACCGAAGAGGAACGACGACGACGACGUGCGCGGGGCUGGAAACCGAGCAAGCCGGAUACGCCGCUGGAUGUGGAGAGUUUGCAAAUUU
rnacentral:SRP_RNA from 1 species